rnacentral:rRNA from 1 species
GAUUUCUGACGAACCGGAGUGGCCCGUUUCCUUUCUGGGAAUGAGUGCCGCUUUGAGUUUGUCAUCCUUCCAGAGAGCUGCGUCUACCGUUCAUUCGGCCGGACGUAUGCGAUCUGGAUCUAUUACUUUGAAAAAAUUAGAGUGUUUAAAGCAGGCUUAUGCUAUGAAUACAUUAGCAUGGAAUAAUAAUUUAGGACUUUGGUUCUAUUUUGUUGGUUUCUAGGACUGAAGUAAUGAUUGAUAGGGAUAGUUGGGGGUGCUAGUAUUCCGCGGCCAGAGGUGAAAUUCUUGGAUUCGUGGAAGACUAACUACUGCGAAAGCAUU